CUAUUCCGGGGGCCCAACCAUGCAAGUCGAACGGUAACAGGAAGUGCUUGCACUUCGCUGACGAGUGGCGGACGGGUGAGUAAUGCUUGGGAACUUGCCUUUGCGAGGGGGAUAACCAUUGGAAACGAUGGCUAAUACCGCAUAAUGUCUUCGGACCAAAGUGGGCUUUUAGCUCACGCGCAAAGAGAGGCCCAAGUGAGAUUAGCUAGUUGGUAAGGUAAAGGCUUACCAAGGCGACGAUCUCUAGCUGUUCUGAGAGGAAGAUCAGCCACACUGGGACUGAGACACGGCCCAGACUCCUACGGGAGGCAGCAGUGGGGAAUAUUGCACAAUGGGGGGAACCCUGAUGCAGCCAUGCCGCGUGUGUGAAGAAGGCCUUCGGGUUGUAAAGCACUUUCAGUGGUGAGGAAAAGUUAGUAGUUAAUACCUGCUAACCGUGACGUUAACCACAGAAGAAGCACCGGCUAACUCCGUGCCAGCAGCCGCGGUAAUACGGAGGGUGCGAGCGUUAAUCGGAAUUACUGGGCGUAAAGCGCACGCAGGCGGCUUGUUAAGCUAGAUGUGAAAGCCCCGCGCUUAACGUGGGAUGGUCAUUUAGAACUGGCAGACUAGAGUCUUGGAGAGGGGAGUGGAAUUUCUGGUGUAGCGGUGAAAUGCGUAGAGAUCAGAAGGAACAUCAAUGGCGAAGGCAGCUCUCUGGCCAAAGACUGACGCUCAUGUGCGAAAGUGUGGGUAGCGAACAGGAUUAGAUACCCUGGUAGUCCACACCGUAAACGCUGUCUACUAGCUGUAUGUGUAUUUUAUACGUGUGUAGCCGAAG
rnacentral:rRNA from 1 species